GAUGAACGCUGGCGGCGUGCCUAAUACAUGCAAGUCGAGCGAACGGACGAGAAGCUUGCUUCUCUGAUGUUAGCGGCGGACGGGGGAGUAACACGUGGAUAACCUACCUAUAAGACUGGGAUAACCUCGGGACACCGGAGCUAACACCGGAUAAUAUUUUGAACCGCAUGGGGCAAAAGUGAAAGACGGUUUUUCUGUCUCUUCUUGAUGGAUCCGCGCUGCAUUGGCUAGUUGUUAGGGUGACGGCUUACCAAGGCGAAGAUGCAUAGCCGACCUGAGAGUGUGAUCGGCGACCCUGGAGCGGAGCCACCGUCCUUGCUCCUCCGUGAGGCCGCAGUAGCGAAUCUUCCGCAGUGGGCGGGAACCUGGCGGAGCAGCGCCGCGUGAGUGAUGGAGAUCUUGCGUUCGUAAUGCUGUCUUACUAGGGAGGAACAUCUGUGUAAGUUACUGUACACUUAUUGACGGUACCUGGUCAGAAAGCCCCGGCUAACUACGUG
rnacentral:rRNA from 1 species